AUGAACGCUGGCGGCGUGCCUAAUACAUGCAAGUCGCGCGAACGGACGAGAAGCUUGCUUCUCUGAUGUUAGCGGCGGACGGGUGAGUAACACGUGGAUAACCUACCUAUAAGACUGGGAUAACUUCGGGAAACCGUAGCUAAUACCGGAUAAUAUUUUGAACCGCAUGGUUCAAAAGUGAAAGACGGUCUUGCUGUCACUUAUAGAUGGAUCCGCGCUGCAUUAGCUAGUUGGUAAGGUAACGGCUUACCAAGGCAACGAUGCAUAGCCGACCUGAGAGGGUGAUCGGCCACACUGGAACUGAGACACGGUCCAGACUCCUACGGGAGGCAGCAGUAGGGAAUCUUCCGCAAUGGGCGAAAGCCUGACGGAGCAACGCCGCGUGAGUGAUGAAGGUCUUCGGAUCGUAAAACUCUGUUAUUAGGGAGGAACAUAUGUGUAAGUAACUGUGCACAUCUUGACGGUACCUAAUCAGAAAGCCACGGCUAACUACGUG
rnacentral:rRNA from 1 species